GAUGAACGCUGGCGGCGUGCCUAAUACAUGCAAGUCGAGCGAACAGAUAAGGAGCUUGCUCCUUUGACGUUAGCGGCGGACGGGUGAGUAACACGUGUGUAACCUACCUAUAAGACUGGAAUAACUCCGGGAAACCGGGGCUAAUGCCCGAUAACAUGUAGAACCGCAUGGUUCUAAAGUGAAAGAUGUUUUUGCUAUCACUUAUAGAUGGACCCGCGCCGUAUUAGCUAGUUGGUAAGGUAACGGCUUACCAAGGCAACGAUACGUAGCCGACCUGAGAGGGUGAUCGGCCACACUGGAACUGAGACACGGUCCAGACUCCUACGGGAGGCAGCAGUAGGGAAUCUUCCACAAUGGGCGAAAGCCUGACGGAGCAACGCCGCGUGAGUGAUGAAGGUCUUCGGAUCGUAAAACUCUGUUAUUAGGGAAGAACAAAAGUGUAAGUAACUGUGCACGUCUUGACGGUACCAAAACAGAAAGCCACGGCUAACUACGUG
rnacentral:rRNA from 1 species